rnacentral:sRNA from 1 species
AAAACAGAAAAACAAAA